rnacentral:rRNA from 1 species
CAGCCGCCGCGGUAAUACGAAGGGGGCUAGCGUUGUUCGGAAUUACUGGGCGUAAAGCGCACGUAGGCGGAUAUUUAAGUCAGGGGUGAAAUCCCGCAGCUCAACUGCGGAACUGCCUUUGAUACUGGGUAUCUUGAGUAUGGAAGAGGUUAGUGGAAUUGCGAGUGUAGAGGUGAAAUUCGUAGAUAUUCGCAGGAACACCAGUGGCGAAGGCGGCUAACUGGUCCAUAACUGACGCUGAGGUGCGAAAGCGUGGGGAGCAAACAGGAUUAGAUACCCGAGUAGUCCCUGUCUCUUAUAC